rnacentral:sRNA from 1 species
ACUUAGCCCCGAUGGGAACGGCAUCCUUUUUUUGCCUGGAUCUUGCGCAGGGAAAAAAGAUACAGUGGACAGCGGGUCGCCCG